AAUGGGGGCAACCCUGACGCAGCAAUGCCGCGUGAGUGAAGAAGGCCUUCGGGUCGUAAAGCUCUUUUAUGGGGGAAGAUGAUGACGGUACCCCAUGAAUAAGCACCGGCUAACUACGUGCCAGCAGCCGCGGUAAUACGUAGGGUGCGAGCGUUGUUCGGAAUUACUGGGCGUAAAGGGCGUGCAGGCGGAUUGGCAAGCCGGAGGUGAAAGCCCGGGGCUCAACCCCGGAGGGUCUUUCGGAACUGCCAGUCUUGAGAGGGUCAGGGGCCAGCGGAAUUCCUGGUGUAGAGGUGAAAUUCGUAGAGAUCAGGAGGAACGCCGGCGGCGAAAGCGGCUGGCUGGGGCCACUCUGACGCUGAGGCGCGAAAGCGUGGGGAGCUAACAGGAUU
rnacentral:rRNA from 1 species